CAUCGAUUGAGUCAACCAAAUCUAACAAAACUUGUCGUUUCGAGAUGAGACCAUUGUUGAAAAUAUUCCUGGCAUUUUGUCUGAUAAAUUUCGCGUUUACUUUCCCACGUCCCGAUGAUGAUUCUGAUGAAGACUCGAACGCGGCGAACAGAGGUCAAGAUGACUCGUCGGACGAACAUGAUGAUUCAGCAGAAGUAAGAAGAGUCAGCAGAGUAAACGUAGGGCGUGGCGAAGGCAGAAGACGGGGUCCCCAAAGAGGACAUGAAUCCGGGGAAAGUCAUGAACAUUCACAUGAAAUACACCGAGGAUUGCUCAGAUUCCAAUAAUUCUGUUGAUACGUACGAUGAAGUCAGCAGAUUUGUCAACUAUUACCUCGGCCUACCAUAUUCAACGUGGACAGCAUGCAAAAGUAUAAUGUAUUCAGAACAUUAUGAUAAAUAGAAUAAAUUCACUAUCAUAUUGA